rnacentral:rRNA from 1 species
UUACGGCCACAUCACGUUGAAAUACUGGUUUCCGUACGAUCACUGAAGAUAAGCAACGUCGAGCCUGGUCAGUACCUAGAUGGGUGACCGCUUGGGAAUACCAGGUACUGUAAG